rnacentral:lncRNA from 1 species
GAGGCUGCCACUUUCUUCAGGGCUAGCAGAUGAAGGCAGCAAGGAAAACACCACCACAAGACCGACUUUAGGCUGGAGCUGAUGAUGCCACACGGAAAAUAGACUCAGAAAUGAAACUCAACUAAAGGUAAAAGAUGUCUGGAACAUCUCCAAGAAAGCCAGAGUCAGCCUCUAAACUUUGCAUCAAGAAUGGCAAUGGCUUCCCUGAGGGCCCAGGGACGCUUGGCAGCUGUGAGGGAUCCCCUUCUCUGCUAUCAAGGAACUGGACACUUCUCCUGUCCCUUCCCACAAGGUAUAAUAUUAGGCAGAAACCCAAUUUAAAAAGAAAAGCAGAGCUGUUGUAGAUUCAGCGAGGGUUGGCGACCUGGUUCCAAUGAGCCAUCUCCCUGUUCCGACAGGGGCUUCCUGGAGCUCCUGCAACCCCAGGCAUUAGUUCCAGUGCAGUUCUAGGAUCAGAUCAAUUCACUCGACAACAAGAGAAACAAAUGGAGAUUCCUACACAAAGACUUUCAAGCACAAAGAAAUCCUGCUGCCUAUAAAGCAGAGCUGCCUCAGCUCUUGAUGAACGACAGAAAAUCUCAAAUUCCAGGAAUUCAGAUGAAGUGAAGUGCUCUCAUGGGGACCAGGCGUGGGUAUGCCAGUCCACUGCCCUGCAAGUCUCAAGGGAAACCAACUGCCCAUCAGCAAGUCACACCUGCCUUGGUGGAGGCAUUGAUUGGAAGGGCCACAGGCUACAUGUCCAGUCCUGAGUGGGAGAAUCGGUGUAGGGAUGUUCUGGGGAUGCUGGCUGUGGCUAGAUCAGGUCCAGCUACAGAAGAAUAAUGAAGACUUCACCUGAGGGCUGGAAAAACAAAACCUCAAGUGUGAGGCAGCCAACCUAUUACCUCGAGGGACUGUCCCGCAGCACAGCAGGGCCAUGGGAACAGCAGCAGACACCCCGGCCUCCUCACUACCUGUGUGUGUAUUAGACACCCAGCCUCCUCACUACCUAUCAACUAUGGCCUGA